rnacentral:tRNA from 1 species
ACACCCGUAGCUCAGCUGGAUAGAGUAACAGAUUCCGAUUCUGGGGGUCGCAGGUUCGAAUCCUGUCGGGUGUACCA